rnacentral:rRNA from 1 species
CCUACGGGAGGCUGCAGUGGGGGAUAUUGCACAAUGGGGGAAACCCUGAUGCAGCGACGCCGCGUGUGGGAAGACGGUCCUCUGGAUUGUAAACCACUGUCCCCAGGGACGAAGAUGACGGUACCUGGGGAGGAAGCUCCGGCUAACUACGUGCCAGCAGCCGCGGGAAUACGUAGGGAGCGAGCGUUGUCCGGAAUUACUGGGUGUAAAGGGAGCGUAGGCGGGACUGCAAGUUGGGUGUCAAAUCUACCGGCUCAACCGGUAGCCGCACUCGAAACUGCAGUUCUUGAGUGAAGUAGAGGCAGGCGGAAUUCCUAGUGUAGCGGUGAAAUGCGUAGAUAUUAGGAGGAACACCAGUGGCGAAGGCGGCCUGCUGGGCUUUUACUGACGCUGAGGCUCGAAAGUGUGGGGAGCAAACAGGAUUAGAUACCCUGGUAGUC